UGGGCUCUGCGAAGCGGAUCGGCACUUCCCUAUGCUGAUGAUGUCAUCAGGAAACCUCACCACUCUUCUCUCCACCGUAGCUCCUCCUGGUGCGGCACUAGUCCGGGCACAUCCGGUUGCGUACAUUCAACCGCAGAAGAAGAAGAACUACUCUCGUUGUAGCUGCUGAGAUGCAGAGCAUCCACCGUGCCAGAGGGGGAGCUGUGUAUCUGAGAGCUGGCCUAUCUAUUACGUCACUUCCAGGUACCUGGCCAAUCACAGGACAGUGGGAAAGCUCUCGUUGGCUGGCCAAUCACAACACAGUCCACAUUCUGGGGGUGUGGUUUUGGUCUGAAACAGCGCGGCUGACGAGAGCUUCAGUGAGGAGAUAUUUUGAUCGGCUCGUUUGCAGCGACUGGGAGGUUUUUAACCAUGAAAACAAGUUAAUAUAUGUCUGUUUGUGUCGGCUGCUUUUUGGACUGGGUCUAAAAAAAAUCCCUGGAUUGAUUUGGUCCAAGUCAAACCACUUUUGGAUCAGUCCUCCUCCCCCCACCAAAAGGCUGAGUCCUCAGUAAAUCACGGCUGACUCUACAUGUGAUGAGUGUUUGGAAAUCCUCGUGGGAUGAGUGCCGUCUGCAUCACCCAUCACAGCGCAGAUCACAAAACAAUAACAGGGCUCAUUUCCCUCCUCCUGUCCCAGAGGAGCGGCCUCCGGGGUCAGAGAGGGGCGUGUCAACCCUGGUCAAGCCCCUGCAGACGGAGGAGGCAUACAUGACGACGAUGACGACGUCUGUUUGGAAUGUAAGACCCUGGCUUUAUCUCUUACCGUCAUAGUGUCAAUCUUCCCUUUGACCUGCUCGUUCCUUGCCAAGGCUCUCUCCAAACAUUCCUUGGUGUACAGCUGAGGGUUUCGACCUUGGUCAAUGUAUCUGUGAAAAGAAGACACAGCAGCUGAAGGCAUGAAGCACAGAUAAGGCACUGGUACCGUUUGAACGGCCUCAGCAAAGGAAAGAAAUGACUCACAGUUUCUGGUUGAGUCCUGUCUGGCUGCUGGG